rnacentral:rRNA from 1 species
UNUGGUCUGUAACUGACGCUGAGGCUCGAAAGCGUGGGGAGCGAACNGGAUUAGAUACCCUGGUAGUNCACGCCGUAAACGAUGAGUGCUAGGUGUUAGGCCCUUUCCGGGGCUUAGUGCCGCAGCUAACGCAUUAAGCACUCCGCCUGGGGAGUACGACCGCAAGGUUGAAACUCAAAGGAAUUGACGGGGGCCCGCACAAGCGGUGGAGCAUGUGGUUUAAUUNGAAGCAACGCGAAGAACCUUACCAGGUCUUGACAUCCCGAUGCCCGCUCUAGAGAUAGAGUUUUACUUCGGUACAUCGGUGACAGGUGGUGCAUGGUUGUCGUCAGCUCGUGUCGUGAGAUGUUGGGUUAAGUCCCGCAACGAGCGCAACCCUUAUUGUUAGUUGCCAUCAUUCAGUUGGGCACUCUAGCGAGACUGCCGGUAAUAAACCGGAGGAAGGUGGGGAUGACGUCAGAUCAUCAUGCCCCUUAUGACCUGGGCUACACGCGUGCUACAAUGGCUGGUACAACGAGUCGCAAGUCGGUGACGGCAAGCUAAUCUNUUAAAGCCAGUCUCAGUUCGGAUUGUAGGCUGCAACUCGCCUACAUGAAGUCGGAAUCGCUAGUAAUCGCGGAUCAGCACGCCGCGGUGAAUACGUUCCCGGGCCUUGUACACACCGCCCGUCACACCACGAGAGUUUGUAACACCCGAAGUCGGUGAGGUAACCUUNUAGGAGCCA